GUGAAUCAUCGAAUCUUUGAACGCAAAUUGCACUCUCCUCGGAGAGUAUGCCUGUUUGAGGGUCAGCCUAAAAAAAACCAACAUCGUUGCUGUCCCGCGGUGACGUUGGUGGGAAUUUGGGUCUCCUUAAUUCUUUUGUUUUUAAGCGCUUUAAAUUUUUCCUUUUGUUUCAUUGAAGGUUUUUAAGUUUUUUUUCUUUAACGUUUAAGGGUUCCAUUUUUUAUUGAAC
rnacentral:misc_RNA from 1 species